AUGGUGAUGUCUAUGGUGCAUUGCGAGACUAAGCUGGCCCCAUUUGUGUUCUCUUCGACCACCGGGCAGUGGCGAGCCGCGGCACCCAUGCUUUGGUCGGCCAUGCCAGUGUCGCCGAUGGACCAUACUUAUCUCAGGCGGCAUCACGCCUAUGGCUGCUUCUACUGGGAGUCCACCCUCAUCAAGAGGAGAGAGUUGCUUGUGCUCAACAUCCGGAGGAUGGAGUUCUCCAUCGCCAAGCUCCCAUCCUCUCGUUGGGGCACGCUAGGCGUCGCCAUUGUGGAGGCAGGGGAAGGCAGGCUUGGGCUGUUUGGUAUCCGUGAUGGAACCGCAGGUGGCAAACCUGACCUUUGCUAUACAGUUAGGCGUAACAAAGGCAAGAAUUCUGGUCAAUGGCAGAUGGUGAAGACAUUCGCACUAGGUUCUGAGGGCCUGAAUUAUAUCAAAGCCGCAACAGAGAGGUAUGUGCUCCUGAUAUGUUCUGAGGCCCCUCGGUUUGUCGGCUUGUCUAUGGAGAUGCCAGACUUGGAGUAUAUCUCGGUGGACGUCAAGAAGUUGCAGCUUGAGAGGGUCUGUCUGAAGCCUUUUGGGAAUUCCUUGUCCAGGAAGCGCAUAUAUGCCCACUUCCCGCCGUCGCUGUCUUCGGCGACAAUAUGA
rnacentral:rRNA from 1 species